AGAGCGAACGCUGGCGGCAGGCUUAACACAUGCAAGUCGAGCGCCCGUAGCAAUACGGGAGCGGCAGACGGGAGAGUAACACGUGGGAACGUACCCUUUGGUUCGGAACAACACAGGGAAACUUGUGCUAAUACCGGAUAAGCCCUUACGGGGAAAGAUUUAUCGCCGAAGGAUCGGCCCGCGUCUGAUUAGCUAGUUGGUGGGGUAAUGGCUCACCAAGGCGACGAUCAGUAGCUGGUCUGAGAGGAUGACCAGCCUCAUUGGGACUGAGACACGGCCCAAACUCCUACGGGAGGCAGCAGUGGGGAAUAUUGGACAAUGGGCGCAAGCCUGAUCCAGCCAUGCCGCGUGGGUGAUGAAGGCCCUAGGGUUGUAAAGCCCUUUGGCGGGGAAGAUAAUGACGGUACCGCAGAAGAGCCCGGCUAACUCGCGCCAGCAGCCGC
rnacentral:rRNA from 1 species